AUCGAUGUUGACUUUAUGGUUUCUUAAUUAUUUAUAGCACCGUUCUUCUUCCCUAUCUCGUGCUUAAGACCCCCGUUAUUCCUCUCCAUCUCUCUUUCCCCUCUUGACAGAUAUAUUAACCUAUCAUCAGAUGAUUAAUAAACACUACUUAAGCAAAUCUUUAGAUAUCAAACAGAAAAUGGAGGUUAAAGAAGAUACUAAGGGCAGUAUAAGUAUGGUUGAGGCUAACUUGCCUCCUGGGUUUAGAUUCCACCCCAGAGACGACGAGCUCGUCUGCGACUACUUAAUGAAAAGAACCGUUCGUAGCCUCUAUCAACCAGUUGUCUUGAUCGAGGUUGAUCUCAACAAGUGCGAGCCUUGGGACAUUCCUCGUAAG
rnacentral:lncRNA from 1 species